CCUACGGGUGGCAGCAGUCGAGAAUCAUUCACAAUGGGGGAAACCCUGAUCGUGCGACGCCGCGUGGGGGAAUGAAGGUCUUCGGAUUGUAAACUCCUGUCAUGUGGGAGCAAAUUAAAAAGAUAGUACCACAAGAGGAAGAGACGGCUAACUCUGUGCCAGCAGCCGCGGUAAUACAGAGGUCUCAAGCGUUGUUCGGAAUCACUGGGCGUAAAGGGUGCGUAGGCUGUUUCGUAAGUCGUGUGUGAAAGGCGCGGGCUCAAACCGCGGAAGGCACAUGAUACUGCGAGACUAGAGUAAUGGAGGGGGAAGCGGAAUUCUCGGUGUAGCAGUGAAAUGCGUAGAUAUCGAGAGGAACACU
rnacentral:rRNA from 1 species